GUGCAUGUGAGUAUGUCUGUCAGUGUGUGUGUGAGUAUGUGUCUGUCAGUGUGUGUGUGUGCAUGUGAGUAUGUCUGUCAGUGUGUGUGUGAGUAUGUGUGUCUGUCAGUGUGUGUGUGAGUAUGUGUGUCUGUCAGUGUGUGUGUGCAUGUGAGUAUGUGUGUGUGAGUGUGUGUGUCUGUGUGGUUCUGUCAGUGUGUGUGUG